UACGGAGGGUGCUAACGUUGUCCGGAUUUACUGGGCGUAAAGCGCAUGUAGGUGGUUUGGCAAGUCAAUGAUUAAAGACCAACGCUCAACGUUGGACCGGUUGUUGAAACUGCUUGACUAGAGGGUAGCAGGGGUAAGCGGAACUUUGAGUGUAGGAGUGAAAUCCGUAGAUAUUCAAAGGAACACCAAUGGCGAAGGCAGCUUACUGGGCUAUUUCUGACACUGAGAUGCGAAAGCGUGGGGAGCAAACGGG
rnacentral:rRNA from 1 species